rnacentral:tRNA from 1 species
GGGCGCUUAGCUCAGUUGGUUAGAGUGCUUGCUUGACAUGCAAGAGGUCACCGGUUCAAAUCCAGUAGCGCCCA